AGUGAACGCUGGCGGUAGGCCUAACACAUGCAAGUCGAACGGCAGCACAGUAAGAGCUUGCUCUUACGGGUGGCGAGUGGCGGACGGGUGAGGAAUACAUCGGAAUCUACUUUUUCGUGGGGGAAAAGGAGGGGAAACUACCGCUAUAACGCAAACGGCCUAACGGGGGAAAGCAGGGGACUUUGGAACUUGGGCGGAUGGAUGAGGCGAUGUCGGAUUAGCUAGUUGGCGGGGUAAAGGCCCACCAAGGCGACGAUCCGUAGCUGGUCUGAGAGGAUGAUCAGCCACACUGGAACUGAGACACGGUCCAGACUCCUACGGGAGGCAGCAGUGGGGAAUAUUGGACAAUGGGCGCAAGCCUGAUCCAGCCAUACCGCGUGGGUGAAGAAGGCCUUCGGGUUGUAAAGCCCUUUUGUUGGGAAAGAAAAGCAGCAGGUUAAUACCCCGCUGUUCUGACGGUACCCAAAGAAUAAGCACCGGCUAACUUCGUG
rnacentral:rRNA from 1 species